GACCUUUUUUGCACGUCGCGCGCACUAUCCUGCGCGUCUCAUCUUGAAUAGUCGCAUUUGCAUCCACCGAAACUGUGUCAACUGUGCCCAUCUCUGGAGCUUCACAUCGACACGUUUUUUGCAAAAUUUGGUGUUCUGUAGCCCUGGAUCUCCCUGGCCGACGCUAUAGAAUUCGGAGACAAUCCAGAAGUGGCGAGUCUUCAACGCUUAAUCGGCUUGUCCACAGCAAUUUUCUCCAGUGGGUUGCUUGAUUUACUCGGCGAUGCUCUUCUGCGAGGCUUUGUGACUGCUUGUAAGGUGAAUGUGCAUCACAUUCUAACGCUCUGUUCUUAAGAGCUCUUUUGGACGCGUUACUGGGAAUGUGUUGCAAAUCUCGCAACGACUCUUUAGUUUCUGAACAUUUGAGCCACAUACACAAUCUUCAUCAUAAGAAAUGGAGUUCGACAUCACAGACGAUGCAAAGCCGAGAUUUCAACUUCUAUCAGGGCUCUUAGAACCCGACGUCGAGGAACUAGAACUGAACAAAGUACUGAUAGGUGCCUGUUCAAGCGUUGGGAUUCUUUUCCUAGCUAUCUCGUGGUUCCAAGCCGGAAUGCUUCGAUUUAUAUGCCUUUGGCUAGCUGCCUCUUUCAUUGCUGGCCCUUUUGCACCUCUGUCAUUAACAGGUGGAAACUGUAGAGUGGGCGAUGGACAAGCAUUCUCUGAUCCCAACCUACAGGUAGAGCCAUCCAUAAAGCCAGAGAAGAGAACGAAAGAUUCAAAUAGAAGAUCUGAUGCAACUAUUGGGAAAAGACUUCUGAAAACAGACCCUGAUGUAAAUGCAUAAGCCAGCACUUCUGAUGCUCCACAGCUGAGCAAUGUGGAAGUAAGCUGAUGCAUUGUUUUCAGAGUUUCAAGUCAAAGCAAGGGCUAGAAUAGCGCGCUAAUCAGUACACUCUCAGUCGUCAGGCAUGUCAUUCUUCUUCCAUAAUAAUACUGAUUCUACCUUCUUAGGUGUUCAACAAUACAGAAUAGUUUGUGAGCACCAUCAGAGAUGGAGGUGAGUAGUUAUUCACCACACAGAUCAGGGAUCUGUCUUUACCUGUGAUGAGAGAUAGCAGGACUGGUGCUGCUUGCUGAGCAUGAUCAGUUAUGUGUUUGGUCUUACUAUUUCCUGCAUUGAAACUGUGCAACUGGAGCCUCUCCUCGCACAGAAUUGAAGCAGCAGCAAGCCUGUUGGGUUUCCUGAGGACUCAAUAUCAAUCACUAAAGAAUGGAUUGUCCAGAUGAGAAAAAAAUUAAAAUUAUUUCUUCGAAAA